UACGUGUCUGUGUGUGGUUGG
rnacentral:siRNA from 1 species